AUUGAACGCUGGCGGCAGGCUUAACACAUGCAAGUCGAGAGAGCGGCGGACGGGUGAGUAAUGUCUGGGAAACUGCCUGAUGGAGGGGGAUAACUACUGGAAACGGUAGCUAAUACCGCAUACCAUCAGAUGUGCCCAGAUGGGAUUAGCUAGUAGGUGGGGUAAUGGCUCACCUAGGCGACGAUCUCUAGCUGGUCUGAGAGGAUGACAAGCGACACUGGAACGGAGACACGGUCCAGGCUCCUACGGGAGGCAUGAGUGGGGAAUAUUGCACAAUGGGCGAAAGCCUGAUGCAGCCAUGCCGCGUGUGUGAAGGGGGCCUUCGGGUUGUAAAGCACUUUCAGCGAGGAGGCGUUACUCGCAGAAGAAGCACCGGCUAACUCCGUGCCAGCAGCCGCGGUAAUUC
rnacentral:rRNA from 1 species